CCUACGGGGGGCUGCAGUGAGGAAUCUUCCACAAUGGGCGAAAGCCUGAUGGAGCAAUACCGCGUGCAGGAUGAAGCUUUUCGGAGUGUAAACUGCUUUUCUGAAGGAAGAUUAUGACGGUACUUCAGGAAUAAGGAUCGGCUAACUACGUGCCAGCAGCCGCGGUAAUACGUAGGAUCCAAGCGCUAUCCGGAAUUACUGGGCGUAAAGCGUGCGCAGACGGUUAAGUAGGUCUUAUGCGAAAUCCGGUGGCUCAACCACCUGGACUGUAUAGGAAACCCCUUGACUUGAGGUAGGUAGAGGUACAUGGAAUUUCUGGUGUAGGAGUGACAUCCGUAGAUAUCAGAAGGAACACCAAUGGCGAAGGCAGUGUACUGGGCCUUACCUGACGUUCAGGCACGAAAGCGUGGGUAGCAAACAGGAUUAGAUACCCCGGUAGUC
rnacentral:rRNA from 1 species